ensembl:lncRNA
GGAAUCGGGAACCAAUAAGGAGAGUGUUCUCAUUUCCACCAACGGAAAACAAAUACUCAGGAAAGAUUGGAGAUCCCCCUCAGAGCCGCUGAUUCAUUUCUGCCUCACGGCUAAACAUAUGCUGCCGCAGAAACCAUGAAAUAGAAACUGGGUGACAGAUAAAGAAAUGAAACUCAUCCUUGUUCAUGUAUACAAUAACAAACAAAAGAGAAAAGCAUCCUCGGGUUUCCCCUUGACUGACCCUGCAUGCCCGGGCAGGUGUGUUCAAAGUGUAUGGCCCAGGUACGAGGGCUUCAGUGAAGAACGUAGCUGAGAUGAGCCAGCCACAAAGACAAAAGUUAUAAAACAGAGGAAUUUGUUAGAGUGGAGCCUGCUGCUACAACCAGACCUUGAAAUGAAGAUUCAUGCCAUACUCUGGAACAUUCUUCUGUUGGCACCUCUUUCAGAAGAGAGCUGUUUGACCAACCCAUCUGGAAUGUCUGUUGUGGAUUGCUGCCCCAUCUUCUUCCCCUGUUAGGUCCCUUGCUUGGCUUAUUGAUUUCUCUAUUGCUUGCACCUUUUCUCAAUAAUAAAUCGAUGGCUUUCAUCAAGAAUCAGGUAUAUGCUAUCAAAAUAGAGCCUAUAUAGAUGCACUGCCAUUACCUUGACUUGGCCAAAAUGGGAGAUGACUAUAAUGAACUCUAUUUACAGAACAUAAGAUCUGUGUAUUUGAAAAAUCAUUGGGUUCAAUCUUUCCUUGGUGAGUUGGGCUGGAUAGCCAACAAUGGGCAAGAGAGGGAGGGUUUAGUGUGUCUGACCCUGAAGCCCCCUAAGAAAGGAAUCAUCAUCAUGCAACAUCAACUCCAGAAAAGGACAUAGAACAAAUGAUUACCAGUCUACAAUCUACACUGCCAGAGGAGCUAGGAAACAAGGAGGACCCCAAGAGAAGAAUGAAUAGUCCAUCGAAGAAGGGGAGGGGGACAAGAACCCCUAAACAUCUUCCUUUGAAGAAUCCACACAUUUCCCCAAAAUAGAAUAUGCUCCAAUUUCAAAUAUCACUGUUAAACCUGAAGCUUAUGUUUUUGUUAUCUUUGAUAAGAACUGAAUUUUUUAAUGCAUUUCUAUGUGCAUCACUAUGCAUCCAUCUACUGGAACAAGAGUAGUCCCACAUGGCAAGCAAUUCUGAAAAAAUAAACUACAACUAUCCUUCUCAUUUCUUUAAUAGAUGAAAAGUGACUUUCAAUAUUGUUUGGCAAUAGUUCUGUUCCUAAUUGAAUGGCUUUUAGUUUAUAUGGAGAGAUAUGGAAAAAUCUUAACCACUUAUACUGUGAAAGGAUAACAGUUUUCUCACUCAUAUGCAAGUAAUGGUUUAUUUGGUUUAGUUAUUGGCUAAAUGUAUCCAUAUAUGGACACAUUUGUUAUUCAGAAACACUAUAAUUUAGAUGUGGAACUUGGAUUAUGAGGAUAAGAAUAUACUUUUGAUAUUCCUGUAUACUUAUGUCAUCAUAGAAACUAAUGCAUUUGCUACUAUGCUGCCCUUGGAUGGAAUACAGGUGAUAUAACUCAAGGUUAAUCAGAAUGUUAGUGGCUUAAAAGUUAGCAGGAAUAAAAUUUCUCACUCUCAUGAGCUAUAUGCCUUAAUGGAAAAAAAAACUGAGUGAUUUUUAGAAAUAUCUUUGUCUUUGUGGCCCAAAACUGAGAAAAAUCUGUAAUUAUGAGGUUUGCAUUCAAGGCCUCGAGUUGGAAG